GGCGCCAUCGUCUAGUGGUUAGGACACCAGGUUUUCAUCCUGGUAACGGGGGUCCGAUUCCCCCUGGCGCUA
rfam:Parcubacteria bacterium GW2011_GWC1_45_14 TW95_C0016, whole genome shotgun sequence.